GAGCUGAAGAGCUUGGAGUCUAAUGUUUGU
rnacentral:piRNA from 1 species